rnacentral:rRNA from 1 species
GAGGUUAAGCGACUAAGCGUACACGGUGGAUGCCCUGGCAGUCAGAGGCGAUGAAGGACGUGCUAAUCUGCGAUAAGCGUCGGUAAGGUGAUAUGAACCGUUAUAACCGGCGAUUUCCGAAUGGGGAAACCCAGUGUGAUUCGUCACACUAUCAUUAACUGAAUCCAUAGGUUAAUGAGGCGAACCGGGGGAACUGAAACAUCUAAGUACCCCGAGGAAAAGAAAUCAACCGAGAUUCCCCCAGUAGCGGCGAGCGAACGGGGAGCAGCCCAGAGCCUGAAUCAGUGUGUGUGUUAGUGGAAGCGUCUGGAAAGGCGCGCGAUACAGGGUGACAGCCCCGUACACAAAAAUGCACAUGCUGUGAGCUCGAUGAGUAGGGCGGGACACGUGGUAUCCUGUCUGAAUAUGGGGGGACCAUCCUCCAAGGCUAAAUACUCCUGACUGACCGAUAGUGAACCAGUACCGUGAGGGAAAGGCGAAAAGAACCCCGGCGAGGGGAGUGAAAAAGAACCUGAAACCGUGUACGUACAAGCAGUGGGAGCACAGAGCAAUCUGUGUGACUGCGUACCUUUUGUAUAAUGGGUCAGCGACUUAUAUUCUGUAGCAAGGUUAACCGAAUAGGGGAGCCGAAGGGAAACCGAGUCUUAACUGGGCGUUAAGUUGCAGGGUAUAGACCCGAAACCCGGUGAUCUAGCCAUGGGCAGGUUGAAGGUUGGGUAACACUAACUGGAGGACCGAACCGACUAAUGUUGAAAAAUUAGCGGAUGACUUGUGGCUGGGGGUGAAAGGCCAAUCAAACCGGGAGAUAGCUGGUUCUCCCCGAAAGCUAUUUAGGUAGCGCCUCGUGAAUUCAUCUCCGGGGGUAGAGCACUGUUUCGGCAAGGGGGUCAUCCCGACUUACCAACCCGAUGCAAACUGCGAAUACCGGAGAAUGUUAUCACGGGAGACACACGGCGGGUGCUAACGUCCGUCGUGAAGAGGGAAACAACCCAGACCGCCAGCUAAGGUCCCAAAGUCAUGGUUAAGUGGGAAACGAUGUGGGAAGGCCCAGACAGCCAGGAUGUUGGCUUAGAAGCAGCCAUCAUUUAAAGAAAGCGUAAUAGCUCACUGGUCGAGUCGGCCUGCGCGGAAGAUGUAACGGGGCUAAACCAUGCACCGAAGCUGCGGCAGCGACGCUUAUGCGUUGUUGGGUAGGGGAGCGUUCUGUAAGCCUGUGAAGGUGUACUGUGAGGUAUGCUGGAGGUAUCAGAAGUGCGAAUGCUGACAUAAGUAACGAUAAAGCGGGUGAAAAGCCCGCUCGCCGGAAGACCAAGGGUUCCUGUCCAACGUUAAUCGGGGCAGGGUGAGUCGACCCCUAAGGCGAGGCCGAAAGGCGUAGUCGAUGGGAAACAGGUUAAUAUUCCUGUACUUGGUGUUACUGCGAAGGGGGGACGGAGAAGGCUAUGUUGGCCGGGCGACGGUUGUCCCGGUUUAAGCGUGUAGGCUGGUUUUCCAGGCAAAUCCGGAAAAUCAAGGCUGAGGCGUGAUGACGAGGCACUACGGUGCUGAAGCAACAAAUGCCCUGCUUCCAGGAAAAGCCUCUAAGCAUCAGGUAACAUCAAAUCGUACCCCAAACCGACACAGGUGGUCAGGUAGAGAAUACCAAGGCGCUUGAGAGAACUCGGGUGAAGGAACUAGGCAAAAUGGUGCCGUAACUUCGGGAGAAGGCACGCUGAUAUGUAGGUGAAGCGACUUGCUCGUGGAGCUGAAAUCAGUCGAAGAUACCAGCUGGCUGCAACUGUUUAUUAAAAACACAGCACUGUGCAAACACGAAAGUGGACGUAUACGGUGUGACGCCUGCCCGGUGCCGGAAGGUUAAUUGAUGGGGUCAGCGCAAGCGAAGCUCUUGAUCGAAGCCCCGGUAAACGGCGGCCGUAACUAUAACGGUCCUAAGGUAGCGAAAUUCCUUGUCGGGUAAGUUCCGACCUGCACGAAUGGCGUAAUGAUGGCCAGGCUGUCUCCACCCGAGACUCAGUGAAAUUGAACUCGCUGUGAAGAUGCAGUGUACCCGCGGCAAGACGGAAAGACCCCGUGAACCUUUACUAUAGCUUGACACUGAACAUUGAGCCUUGAUGUGUAGGAUAGGUGGGAGGCUUUGAAGUGUGGACGCCAGUCUGCAUGGAGCCGACCUUGAAAUACCACCCUUUAAUGUUUGAUGUUCUAACGUGGACCCGUAAUCCGGGUUGCGGACAGUGUCUGGUGGGUAGUUUGACUGGGGCGGUCUCCUCCUAAAGAGUAACGGAGGAGCACGAAGGUUGGCUAAUCCUGGUCGGACAUCAGGAGGUUAGUGCAAUGGCAUAAGCCAGCUUGACUGCGAGCGUGACGGCGCGAGCAGGUGCGAAAGCAGGUCAUAGUGAUCCGGUGGUUCUGAAUGGAAGGGCCAUCGCUCAACGGAUAAAAGGUACUCCGGGGAUAACAGGCUGAUACCGCCCAAGAGUUCAUAUCGACGGCGGUGUUUGGCACCUCGAUGUCGGCUCAUCACAUCCUGGGGCUGAAGUAGGUCCCAAGGGUAUGGCUGUUCGCCAUUUAAAGUGGUACGCGAGCUGGGUUUAGAACGUCGUGAGACAGUUCGGUCCCUAUCUGCCGUGGGCGCUGGAGAACUGAGGGGGGCUGCUCCUAGUACGAGAGGACCGGAGUGGACGCAUCACUGGUGUUCGGGUUGUCAUGCCAAUGGCACUGCCCGGUAGCUAAAUGCGGAAGAGAUAAGUGCUGAAAGCAUCUAAGCACGAAACUUGCCCCGAGAUGAGUUCUCCCUGACUCCUUGAGAGUCCUGAAGGAACGUUGAAGACGACGACGUUGAUAGGCCGGGUGUGUAAGCGCAGCGAUGCGUUGAGCUAACCGGUACUAAUGAACCGUGAGGCUUAACCUUACAACGCCGAAGCUGUU